CCCUCAGAUGUCCUGGGCCGCACGCGCGCUACACUGACAUGUUCAACAAGUUUCUCCUAGUUCGACAGGACUGGGAAAUCUUUGAACGCAUGUCGUGAUAGGGAUAGAUCAUUGCAAUUAUUGAUCUUGAACGAGGAAUUCCUAGUAAACGCGAGUCAUCAGCUCGCAUUGAUUACGUCCCUGCCCUUUGUACACACCGCCCGUCGCACCUACCGAUUGAAUGUUUCGGUGAAGAUUCCGGAUAGGACUGAUUUGAUUUAUUUCAUUUCUGACCUAAAAGCUAUCUAAACCUCAACAUUUAGAGGAAGGUGAAGUCGUAACA
rnacentral:rRNA from 1 species